AUAUUCGUAAAAAACCCACUAUUUGUGCUUUGUCAAAUUUUUUCUGAAAAUAGUGUUAGCUCAUCCCGGGAAACGUGUCACACUGAGCUUGUGAUGGAAAAACAAGUUGAAGUUGUGAAAAUGCCUUUUUCAUGUUUUUAUUUGUAUGCUGUCUUUUUAUUUCACUUCACGUUUCGGUUGUCACCUUUACUUGGAUUUCUGUGUUAACGAUUGCCUUCUUAUUCUUAAUCAUUUGGUGUGUUUUUAAUGUAUUUAUUUGUGUGUUUUAAGUAUUGAACUUUGCAUGAAAACUGAACUGGACAGUAAUGAUUCUGGGAGAGACACAUCUCCAGUCAUGCUACUAAUUACAGAAUGAGCGACAGGUGUAGCAGCGCUGCACACAAUUGGUCAGGACGCUUCUUAUACAGAGAAAGCUGAAGAACAAGAUGCAAAUCACAUGAACACUGCCCAGUUUGGGGAAGAGCCCAGAAACAGAGUACGGAGCAGUCUGACAGACCAGCAAGUGACCCAGGAGUUGCCGUGGUACUACAUGCAGAAGCCAGUGUCCCCCAAUGCAGCUUCACUUGGGCCUGGGUCGGCAGUUGAUUAGCUGUUGCCCAAUCCGACGGGGUUGGAGUGGCCUGGCAGCCGGCAUGGAAGGAGCUGGAAACGGAAUCGGAGGAUCAAAGGCAGAAACGUGGACACGGAAGAGUAGUCGCUGGACUGAACAUGUACUUCAUGGACCUUGCUGCUAUGCAGUAUUUUUUAGAUUCAUUUUAUUGCAUGUUUGUGUUUAUUCUUUUUAGUGGUUUACUCGUACUGUUAUUUGUUCACUUAGUGGCCUACUGUUUUUAUCUUGGAAGGUACCAUUCUAUGUAUUAACUUUAGAAUUGAAUUAAAAUCUGAUUCAAAUCAA